GACGAACCGUGCGAACGUUGUUCGGAAUCACUGGGCUUAAAGGGCGCGUAGGCGGGUCACCAAGUCCGGGGUGAAAUCUUUCGGCUUAACCGGAAAAUAGCCUUGGAUACUGGUAAUCUCGAGGGAGGUAGGGGUCUGUGGAACUUCUGGUGGAGCGGUGAAAUGCGUUGAUAUCAGAAGGAACGCCGGUGGCGAAAGCGACGGACUGGACCUCCACUGACGCUGAGGCGCGAAAGCUAGGGGAGCAAACGGG
rnacentral:rRNA from 1 species